rnacentral:rRNA from 1 species
GACGAACCGUGCGAACGUUAUUCGGAAUCACUGGGCUUAAAGGGCGCGUAGGCGGGCCUGAAAGUCAGGGGUGAAAGCCCCCAGCUUAACUGGGGAAGUGCCUCUGAUACUUCAGGCCUCGAGGGAGGUAGGGGCGUGCGGAACUUCCGGUGGAGCGGUGAAAUGCGUAGAUAUCAGGAAGAACACCCGUGGCGAAGGCGGCUCUCUGGUACGUGACUGACGCUGAGACGCGAAAGCGUGGGGAGCAAACAGG